ensembl:lncRNA
UGUUUAAUUGCUCUAAUCAAGUAAAUAAAACCCUUCACAGCUGACCUCGGUGUUUUCGCAGAUUUUGUGAUAUUACACAAUGGAUGGAGACUUAGAACAAAAGCACAAGUGCAGGUUCAGCCAUUCUGAAAUAAAACCUGUGUAUAUGCAGAGCCUCUGAUGAUAUAAAGAAAAUUCCAGCUGAGACAAUCUUCCACUUAUUUGUUUCAUGAUCAUAUGAACAAGCAGAGAAUGUCCUAAGCUUUGUUCCCAGUACCCAGGCUGACAAGCUGUCUGGAGUCAGAAUAACCCUGGCCUCAUACUUCUUCCUACAGUCUCCUACUGAGUGUAAAAUAUGGCUGUCUUGCAGUUUGAAUAAGGCUUUUAAUAUGCUAUGGGAUGUCACGGUCCACAGAAGUGGAAUACAGUGUUCUGCUUGCUGUGAAAUAGAAAAAAGCUAACCAAACUGGUUCCUUCCUCCUGAGUACAUAGUGACUGGUUUGAAGUUCAGUCACUGAGACUAAAAAUAUCAGCUUGAUCACAAAGGAAAGAAAAACAUUCGACAGAUGGAUUUCGUCUUCCUUCAGCAUGAACAUCUAUUUGCCACUAAAAGUUUGGUUACAACGUUGAAGCCAAAUAAUGUGAUCUCUUCUCAAUCCAUCAAGAACAGUCUGUGGCUUAAGGUGGAUGCUAUUUCAGUGCUCUCAUAGAAAGCAAGCUAUUUGGAAGGUUGUACACGGCUGGGGUAAAAGAAAUGUUUAUUUAAGAAUAUAAAGAGAAGCAACUCUUAAGAGUGGGCUUUUGUUCCACUGUAGGGCUGUGCUCACCUGAGCUGAGGUGCUGACUCUGUCCUCACACCCGCACAAAUGGGCACAGAUUGCUCUAAUGAGAACAGGCAGUGCUUGGUGUGAUGGUGCAAAUGGUGGUGGUUAUAGGAGAAGUGUCAGGAACAGCAAACAAUUGGGUGGCAUCAAACAUCGCUAGAGUUGCUAAGUUUCUUACAGGUUUCUCACCACCUUUUUACCUCCUCGUCUUCCAGAUAAGUUGCAAUUAAGACCUACCUGUGGUCAUGACCAUUAUCUGAUAUGAGAUGUCAUCAGCAAAAUAAACACACAUUGCUUUGUGUCAAACUUUUCUCAGUGAUCAGGAAAGUCCAUGGGGAAGGUGUAUAUCAGCGCUGAGGUAUGCUGAGGUGUGACAGCUAAAGGACACUUUCUGGAAAUCUUUGCUUCUUCCUCACAGCCUGUACCAAGGAGGACCCUGCCAUGGCCCUGAUUCUGAGGAUUACGAGUGCAUUUCAUCAUUUUAUGACUGAAACCAGCACAGAGCUGUGUUUAUUUUCAAGCUCUACAGAGUGCUGUUUUACUGUGUUGGACUCAACCAAGGCUACUGUCCAAUUUUAAUAGAUGUAUUUUCCACAGGAAAUUAAUGUAUUGUUUCCCCAAAGCUAUUUCAGUCAGCAAACCUCGCUGCAGGCUGCCUGAGCUGAACGUUACUUCAGCUGGCCAAACAAAUCAGGUGCUCUCAGACAGUCCUCUGCCUAGUUUUGGCCAAGUGAGCUGUGACAGUCCGAGGGCUACCACCGGGAGCUGAACAACCCUACGUAUUUUUCACAUGGAAAACCAUGUACGGAGAGGUUCCUAAUUGCUGUGUUAGUUCUUUGGCAAUCGGUACUGUGUGGAGUCACCAUCACUAGAAUAUUUAGGGGAGGAAUACCAGCACUGUACCAGCCUGCAGCAGCUGUACCAUGUUGCUGAAAGACCAGAACACAUAUUCUCCAGGCCUAGAAGCAAGGGAUUAUAGAGGUACUUUCAGAAGGUACCCAUGUGACUGAGAAGUGUAUGCACCAUUUUUAAAAAGCCCCUUGCUGAGAGAUGAUGGGCUGGGUAGGGCCUGCAGAGAAAUCAAAUGGACGUUUUCAAAAACUGUACCCCUUAUUUUAAAAGAAAGGAAAACGUGAGGCAAUCGCAGCUGAUUCAGCAUCCGGCAGUCUCAGCCAAGUCAUAUUUUACCUCUUCCCUUCCCUCCCCGCACAAAACUUCCAGGAAAACCUGCAAAGAAAAGGCAUAUGUGGGUAGGAGGAGACCUGCUUUUAAUUUCUGUACCUCCUAUUCAACACAAUGCCACACAAUGUACAGGAUGCGAAUAUCCCAAGACACCUCAUACAAUACAAGUAACAAAAGCACACACACAUGCACAAGAAAGGGGGAGAAGCAAGCAUGGCAGAGUUACAAAGCAAAGUGCAGGAAUUUGGACUUCACUUAUCCCUGGAAAACUCCGUGGCUAAGCUGAAAUAACGAUAAUAAAGGAGUGAAAGCUGAGAAAUGGAAUGGAAAGAAUUUUGCAGAAGUGACAGCUUCAUCAUUCCCCAGAAGAUACUGCACUUCACUCAGCAAUCUCUACCAUUACGAGCACCGUGCUGAUAGUUGAAUGCUAAAUUGUUGGCCAUGAAACUAAUGUGCCGGGGUUCUUUACACUGAUGCCAGCUAGCUACCCUAUUCUGGAUCUGUAAGGCAUUUUUUAUUUUUAAUCUUGGUGCUGGCCAACAGAUAUAUGCUCUUUGGGUAGUUUGGUAAGGAUCUGCUCCCAUCUACAAAAUUAUUAGUCAUGAGUACUUGGUAUUUUCCUGUCUGCUGCUCACACUCCCCCAGCAAUGCUGGUUUGCUCUUGUGGAGGCCACAGAGACUCUACAACAUGUAUAGUAAAUAACAGAUCUGCACUAAGCUUGCCUCCACCAUGCUUGUCAAUUCUGUGAGACAUAUUCCCGCUUUGUGGGACUUCAACACCAUCUCCCAAGUCCUUUGGACAAAGGCAUAAUGCUAUCAGACACAUGGUUUGAAAUUCGCAUGGUCCUGUGUGGAGCCAGGAGUUGGAAUCAAUCAUCCUUGCAGGUCUCUUCCAACUCAGGACAUUCUAUGAUUCUAUUCUGUGACUCUAUGAGUCUCCAGCUGCAGGUCCCAACUACAGAAUUUGGAGCAUGAAGCUCUUAGCUCUUAUAGUGCUCCUGCUAGCAUAAAUGCUGCAGACACAAAGCUAUGUUAGCUAGAUAAUCAGAGAGACUGGAGAAACCAUUAGCCAAAUGGAGAAGUGCUCCCUCUCUGUAACCAUGGUGCCUAAGCCCAGAUGGAUCUGAGCUGGAGCACACAGAUGUAGGUACUCAGCUCUUUCAUGGGCUCUUUGGGAAGAUGUCAGUGGGUGUCUCCAUUCCCUAUGGCUUGGUGAGUGCCAUUGGAUGAUUGGUCAUUUGCUUCACCUGCUGUUCAUUGAGCUGCUGCGGAUACUGGGAGGGGUUUGAAAGGUUAGCUGGAUAGAUAUGUGUGUGCCAGAGCAAAAUGAGCAAGUAGUUCUUUGUGUGUGCUGGACACCCUCAUGUGCAGGACAAGCUCCUUGGCACAACCUGGGGUAGUUGAUACUGGUGCACUAAGCCUGGGGAAGAAUCCAGAAUCUGCAGCAACAAACAUGUACAAAGCAUAGCUGUGGAAGUAAUUAAGUGAAUUUAGAUCAUAUGUGGUUUUGGAGCCUGAUGUGGUGCAUGUGCCAGACUUCUGACAGCUCUCAGUUUCUUUUUUAGGGCCAUCACUAUUGCUUUAUGCCUUGAAUUUUACUGUAAGUGCUUAGGGGAUGGGUGAAGUCUUUUCUCUUUGAAGUAUUGCAUAGCAAGAUGGUAGAAGGUAAAGAACUGCUUAGGCUUUCAUUUCAGGCCCCUGAUCUUCCAGGUAUCCACAUUGUCAAGUCCUUUCCAGCUGACUCUCAGUUUCUCUGUAAUGGAAGCAGAGGCAUUUUGGAGGCUGACAUUCUACAGCAAAAAGUGAUUAGAUAAAAAGAUGAUGCAAGCUCACUUUAAAGAAAAAGAAGAAACCAUGAAGGAGGCUAAUCAAUCUCUGUAACUUUCUGAAUGAUUAUUAGAUACAAUCUUUUUUGCUUAUUUGUUUCUGUGUCAUUAACUGCGGGUCACAAUGUACUCUUAAGCAUAAAUCUGUCCACAAAACCCUGAAAUGCAGCUUGCAUCAGGGAUGGUGGGGUUAGGAAUUCAAGGGUAAGCAGUAGCUGAGCUGGUCUAGCAAUUUCAU